GAGACUCCGUUAGUAGUGGCGAGCGAACGCGGACCAGGCCAGUGCUCUUAUCAAUCGAACUUGAACCAUCUGGAAAGUUGGGCCGGAGUGGGUGACAGCCCCGUAGAGGUAGGAAAGAUAAGAGACUUGAGUAGGGCGGGACACGUGAAAUCCUGUCUGAAGAUCGGAGGACCACCUUCGAAGGCUAAGUACUCCUUACUGACCGAUAGUGAACCAGUACC
rnacentral:rRNA from 12 species